ACCAGGCACAAAAGAGUACAGAAUGGAUGAUUCCAUUCAGGUGAAACUCUAGAACAGACAAAUCUUGCCUACAGUGAUAGAUGUGAAAGAUGGGGUUACGCCUGGGCAAGGAGGGGCUGGUGUGGACUGGCGGAUGGGAGUGCUCGAGGGGUCCUGUAACAUGAUCUGGAUGGGGGUUAUGUGGGCGUAUUCAGAUGUAACCCUUCACUGAGCUGUAUGGAUAACAUUAGUGUGUACCUGACUGUUAUAUCUCAAUUUCAAAGUUUAAAAUAAGGCAGACAUCAGAACGCCGAAAUCAAAAAUAAAAAUAAAAAGUAUAUGGAGAGAUCAGAAGCUGAUAGAGAAAGCUGUAGUCCGGUUGCCAGCAAGCCCAGAAGGAGCUGGAAAACACUGAGCUUGUUACCAAAUUAUUCUUUUACUCCGGAAAUUUGAUCCACAAGUCUGUCAGUACCAGGAAUUUCACAUCGCGUCACAAAGAGCCAGAGCAAGUAGUUUGCAAUGGAAAGGUGCUGUAGUUUAAGAACAGAAAAAUCAUCUUUGGUUUUUAAACAGGAAGGGGCCAAAAGGUUAUCUCUCCUGUCUGAACUGAGAGGUUAUUUUGGAAACAUCAACAACAACAACACAACAACUUAGAAAUAACGCUUGGGACAGAUUCCAGGAAAUUAAAAUCUGGAAACAAAGGCCCCCUCCCCCUAGAUUGUACUUCAGAUCUCACAAAACCUGGCUCUACCCCUGAAGACAUCCGAGAGCUGUUAAAUGAAGUGGCCACACGAAAAGCGAUUGGCUCAACAAAAACUGGAAAUAAAUACUUAUUAAGUCUGAUGCUGAGGCCCCUGCUUAGCACCCUUCUACCCAGGUGAGGCACAGGAGGAGGAGGAAGGCAGCCAAGAGACCUCCCCCAGGUUGGGGAAACGCUGUUAGAGCUGGCGGGAAUCCCACCGCUCUCCAGCCAGGGCCCCUCUGGCCAGACAGGGCCAGAUGAUGUAGUGACUUGAUUCAGUGGGUAAACAUCCAGUGCAGCUUGCUGGAGGCCCCCAGCCUCGUAUUACUGUUGACACAAGGUAGAUUCCCUUGCUCUAAACCACUGUUUAUAUUUUAGCCAAGUGUCCUAUAUAAAUCUCCUACCCAACCACCAGACUCCGGCUGCUACAGAAGUGACCAACUAGAAAAUGGCCUAAUAAGGAGUUUGCUGCAGAAAUUGGGGUGUAUCUCCAUAUGAAAGACUGCCUUAGGGGUACUGACCAGGAAAUCCUGAUGUUAGGGCUUUCCAAAAUGGGGAGCCAGAACACAGCUGAAGGCAGCUUCAGCUAAAAUAAAGGUUCUUUUAAAGAACUCUCUCA
rnacentral:lncRNA from 1 species